rnacentral:rRNA from 1 species
ACGACAUGAAGUUAGGUCAGCAAACCCGCUGAAUUUAAGCAUAUAAGUAAGCGGAGGAUAAGAAACUAAAUAGGAUUCCCUCAGUAAUGGCGAAUGAACAGGGAAUAGCUCAGGAUGAAAAUCGGGGCCUCUGGCUCUGAAUUGUAGUCUGGAGAUGUACUACCAACCAGGGCGUAGAUGAAAGCCUCUUGGAAAAGAGCAUCAUUGAGGGUGAGAGUCCCGUCUGUCAUCUACAGCCCCUGGUAUACGGUGUACCUUCUAAGAGUCACGUUCCUCGGGAUUGGAGCGCAAAUCGGGUGGUAAAUUUCAUCUAAAGCUAAAUAUAGUUUCGAGACCGAUAGCAAACAAGUACCAUGAGGGAAAGGUGAAAAGGACUUUGAGAAGAGAGUUAAAAGUGCCUGAAAUUGCUGAAGGGGAAGCGAAUGGAACCAGUCUAGCUUGGCGAGAUUGCCGCGAGGGACAGUGAUGUCUUGUCAGCUCAACGUAAGUGUGUUGGCAGGUCCUGAGCCGUCUCCUCGUGGUGUUUCUCGCCUUGUGUGUCACUCUCGGUUUACGGCUAAGCAAAACCUCGGGUGGAUGGUAGCUCGCCUCCGGGUGUGUGAACGUGCCUGCUGGGGCUUACCUGUAGACCGACGAAUGGCUAAAUGGUUUCCUUCGACCCGUCUUGAAACAC